rnacentral:rRNA from 1 species
AACGCUGGCGGCAGGCUUAACACAUGCAAGUCGAACGGUAACAGAAAAUAGCUUGCUAUUUUGCUGACGAGUGGCGGACGGGUGAGUAAUGCUUGGGAACAUGCCUUUAGGUGGGGGACAACAGUUGGAAACGACUGCUAAUACCGCAUAAUAUCUUCGGAUCAAAGUGGGGGACCUUCGGGCCUCACGCCUAGAGAGUGGCCCAAGUGGGAUUAGCUAGUUGGUAAGGUAAUGGCUUACCAAGGCGACGAUCCCUAGCUGGUCUUAGAGGAUGACCAGCCACACUGGAACUGAGACACGGUCCAGACUCCUACGGGAGGCAGCAGUGGGGAAUAUUGCACAAUGGAGGAAACUCUGAUGCAGCCAUGCCGCGUGUGUGAAGAAGGCUUUCGGGUUGUAAAGCACUUUCAGUGGGGAGGAAAGGUUGCUGUUUAAUACGCUGUUGCCCUGACGUUACCAACAGAAGAAGCACCGGCUAACUCCGUGCCAGCAGCCGCGGUAAUACGGAGGGUGCAAGCGUUAAUCGGAAUUACUGGGCGUAAAGCGCGCGUAGGCGGUUUGGUCAGUCGGAUGUGAAAGCCCAGGGCUCAACCUGGGAACUGCAUUCGAUACUGCCUGACUAGAGUGUGGUAGAGGGAAGUGGAAUUCCGGGUGUAGCGGUGAAAUGCGUAGAUAUCCGGAGGAACACCAGUGGCGAAGGCGGCUUCCUGGACCAACACUGACGCUUUCGUGCGAAAGCGUGCGGAGCAAACAGGAUUAGAUACCCUGGUAGUCCACGCCGUAAACGAUGUCAACUAGCCGUUGGGAGGAUUGGCCUCUUGGUGGCGCAGCUAACGCGGUAAGUUGACCGCCUGGGGAGUACGGCCGCAAGGUUAAAACUCAAAUGAAUUGACGGGGGCCCGCACAAGCGGUGGAGCAUGUGGUUUAAUUCGAUGCAACGCGAAAAACCUUACCUACUCUUGACAUCCCGUGAACUUUGCAGAGAUGGAUUGGUGCCUUCGGGAACACGGUGACAGGUGCUGCAUGGCUGUCGUCAGCUCGUGUUGUGAGAUGUUGGGUUAAGUCCCGCAACGAGCGCAACCCCUAUCCUUAUUUGCCAGCACUUCGGGUGGGAACUUUAAGGGGACUGCCGGUGAGAAACAGGAGGAAGGUGCGGACGACGUCAAGUCAUCAUGGCCCUUACGGGAUGGGCUACGCACGUGCUACAAUGGCCGGUACAGAGGGCAGCAAACUAGCGAUAGUGAGCGAAUCCCAGAAAGCCGGUCGUAGUCCGGAUUGGAGUCUGCAACUCGACUCCAUGAAGUCGGAAUCGCUAGUAAUCGUGGAUCAGAAUGCCGCGGUGAAUACGUUCCCGGGCCUUGUACACACCGCCCGUCACACCAUGGGAGUGGGUUGCAAAAGAAGUAGGUAGCUUAACCUUAGGGAGGGCGCUUACCACUUUGUGAUUCAUGACUGGGGUGAAGUCGGAACAAGGUAACCGUAGGGGAACCUGCGGUUGGAUCACCUCCUUA